rnacentral:rRNA from 1 species
UACGUAGGGUGCAAGCGUUGUCCGGAAUUAUUGGGCGUAAAGAGCUCGUAGGCGGCUUGUCGCGUCGGCUGUGAAAACUCGGGGCUCAACCCCGAGCCUGCAGUCGAUACGGGCAGGCUAGAGUCCGGCAGGGGAGACUGGAAUUCCUGGUGUAGCGGUGAAAUGCGCAGAUAUCAGGAGGAACACCGAUGGCGAAGGCAGCCCCCUGGGCCGACAUUGACGCUCAGGCACGAAAGCGUGGGGAGCAAACAGG